rnacentral:rRNA from 1 species
UUGGAGGGCAAGUCUGGUGCCAGCAGCCGCGGUAAUUCCAGCUCCAGUAGCGUAUAUUAAAGUUGUUGCAGUUAAAAAGCUCGUAGUUGAAUUUCGGGGUUAGUAGGUUGGUCAUGCCUCUGGUAUGUACUGGUCUCACUGAUUCCUCCUUCCUUAUGAACCGUAAUGCCAUUAAUUUGGUGUUGCGGGGAAUUUGGACUGUUACUUUGAAAAAAUUAGAGUGUUUAAAGCAGGCUAACGCUUGAAUACAUUAGCAUGGAAUAAUGAAAUAGGACGUUCGAUCUUAUUUUGUUGGUUUCUAGGAUUGACGUAAUGAUUAAUAGGGAUAGUUGGGGGCAUUAGUAUUCAAUUGUCAGAGGUGAAAUUCUUGGAUUUAUUGAAGACUAACUACUGCGAAAGCAUUUGCCAAGGAUGUUUUCAUUAAUCAAGAACGAAAGUUAGGGGAUCGAAGACGAUCAGAUACCGUCGUAGUCUUAACCAUAAACCAUGCCGACUAGGGAUCGGAUGAUGUUAAUUUUUUAAUGACUCAUUCGGCGCCUUACGGGAAACCAAAGUGUUUGGGU